rnacentral:rRNA from 1 species
GUGCCAGCAGCCGCGGUAAUACGUAGGUGGCGAGCGUUAUUCGGAUUCACUGGGCGUAAAGGGUCCGUAGGGGGUCUGCCAAGUCUGGUGUGAAAGCCCGCGGCUCAACUGCGGAACGGCACUGGAUACUGGCGGGCUGGAGUCUGCGAGGGGUGAGCGGAAUUCCUGGUGUAGCGGUGGAAUGCGUAGAUAUCAGGAAGAACACCGAUGGCGAAGGCGGCUCACUGGCGCAGUACUGACCCUGAGGGACGAAAGCGUGGGGAGCAAACAGGAUUAGAAACCCCUGUAGUCC